rfam:Phormidesmis priestleyi Ana ITZX_scaf_1146, whole genome shotgun sequence.
AGGCGCUGUGUGAGCCGAAAGGCUCAGGCACGGUGCUGAAGGCGGGCGGGUCUUCGUGAGGAGACUCGCCUAGCUAAC